UACCAGCACCCCGAGUGGUCGGGACGUUUAUUGGGCCUAAAGCAUCCGUAGCCGGUUCUACAAGUCUUCCGUUAAAUCCACCUGCUUAACAGAUGGGCUGCGGAAGAUACUAUGGAGCUAGGAGGCGGGAGAGGCAAGCGGUACUCGAUGGGUAGGGGUAAAAAUCCGUUGAUCCAUUGAAGACCACCAGUGGCGAAGGCGGCUUGCCAGAACGCGCUCGACGGUGAGGGAUGGAAAGCUG
rnacentral:rRNA from 1 species